CCAAGUUACCUCCUCAGUAGAGCCUGCUCUGAUUAUCUGAGAAGGAAUUAGGUCACUUCUUUCUCUGUGUUUCCACAGAACAUCAUGCCCGCCUCUCUACCCGCCUACAUCACAUUAUUCUCAAAGCUCCAUUUCUGGGUCAGCUUUCCCACACUAGAAAGAAGAGAGCUUUUGAUGCUUCCUUCUCCAUGAUGCUUAAGAGAUCUGCUCCAGAAGAUGAGCCAGCACUUAUUUCCAAAGCUACAGAGGUUGUCUCUAAGGGACGUUUUAAAAAAUGCCAUUUAAAGUGACCACACAGUAGACUGAAGAAAAAGAAGUAACAAAUUGUAUACAGACAUCAUGGAAAAGAGAGCCAUCAUGGAAAAAAGUGUGCUGACAAAGAAGAUUACUCCUUCAAGCAAGGUUGCGCCUAUUCUCUGAUGGGCAGCCUUUAAAUUAAAAGGUGCGGGUAGCCAAUAAGUACCUUCAGAAAAGAGGGUGGGAGGACCACGAUGACAAAAAUCGUCCAGAUUCUAUUACAUGUUAUUUGUCACUCAAAAGAAAGGCUUUAACCGACAAAAGCAGGCUUUUCACCAGACGGUGACUUUGCUGGGUAUGUACUGGCUGCUUUGCUAUGUUUUAUUGUUCUAUGUUUCACUGUUAUGUUUUCUUCAUUCUGUCCUUCAAGGAGCCUGAAUUCAGUGUCCAUAUAUACACACAUGCCCUAAACAGCAGACUCUACUGUUUGAUUAGCAAAUUGCCUCAGAAACAUUCAGGGAAUUUCAAAAUAUUUCACUCCAAAAAGACAUGUGACUGUCCACCUUACUGGAGGGUAAUCGCCUACAUCAAAGUUCUUAAAAAUAUGUCAGGCUUUCAGCCAGAAAUUUACCUCCUAGGAAACUAUUCUAAGAAAAUUGUUAAAUAUUUGUGCAAA